UACAGAGGGGGCGAGCGUUGUUCGGAAUUACUGGGCGUAAAGGGCGCGUAGGCGGCCUCUUAAGUCGAACGUGAAAUCCCCGGGCUCAACCCGGGAACUGCGUCCGAUACUGGGGGGCUUGAAUCCGGGAGAGGGAUGUGGAAUUCCAGGUGUAGCGGUGAAAUGCGUAGAUAUCUGGAGGAACACCGGUGGCGAAGGCGGCAUCC
rnacentral:rRNA from 1 species